rnacentral:sRNA from 1 species
UGGGUUCGAUCCCCACAGACGGCGUCGCUUUGAGGUCAUUUUUUUUU